ensembl:lncRNA
AGUUUAGGUCCAGACAUGGCUAGUGACGUCAGACUGAACAACCGGAUUGAACGAGGAGGACCCAGAAUCCAGCCCUGUGUGAAGCUGAAGAGGCUGAAAAUUACAGGUUAUCUGUGGAAACCUGCAUCAAGAAGGUGGUGACACUUGUCAUUAAAAAUGCCAGUUCACCUUCCUCUACUGAAAAAGUUGAUGCCAUCACCCAACGGCUGUUCAUAAAACUCUGGCCUAGACUUAAAAAGAUCAAAGUUGAUAAUGUGAUAUGGUUUAUAGCUCCUUAAUACAGAAAUGGAAAGAGCCAGAUGUCAUACAUAUUCAUGGAAUUAGACCAUGAAUAUGCAGAUGAUGUAAUUGUAAAGGUUUUCAAGGAGCAUGCCAUCACUGUAUUGGAAAGUGAACAUUUCAUCACAAGCUUCUUUCUUCAUGCUGUAUGGAUCGCAGGCAGAAAAUACUUGGUUACUGUUGUGUAAGUCCCUAAAAGUAGAUUUUGUUUAUCUGGACGCAGGAUUUUCAGUUUCAAUUUAUUUAAGUAAUUAUAAUAAAGGUCAAUCAAAUGGACCAAUAUGGCAAGGCCAUGAUGAUCCACUUGGUAAAAUAAAUCCGUUUGGCAUCUUUCUUGGCCUUAAGACAACAAUUCUGAUGGCUAAAGACCCAAACGGGACACAAGAAAAAAACAAAACACAUGUUGUCUGACAACAGUAUCAAAGAUCUGCAUAUACAUAAAAAAAACCUGAAAGAUCUGGACCGGGCCAUUUACAAAGAGCUACGUCAGAAAACAUUCUGUAAAGAAAAACAUUUACUGAUGUUACUGAACGACGAGGACCCAGUGUUGAGAAAACUGACGGUCGAUAUCAUUAAAAAUCACCUGAUCGACACUAUGCAGAAUCCAGCCCUGUGUGAUGCUGAAGAGGCUGAAAAUUACAGGUUAUCUGUGGAAGCCUGUAUCAAGAAGGUGGUGACACGUGUCAAUAAAAAUGCCAGUUCACCUUCCUCUACUGAAAAAGUUGAUGCCAUCACCCAACGGCUGUUCAUAAAACUCUGGCCUAGACUUAAAAAGAUCAAAGUUGAUAAUGUGAUGUUCAUCAGUGAUUGUCAGGGUCCCUGAGCAGUUAUGAAUUAUAUUAUUAUUAUUGUUAUUGUAUGUAUAUUUGGUGUUGCUGUCCUUCUCCCUGUUUGCGUGUGUGUGUGUGUGUGUGUGUGUGUGUGUGUAUAUAUGUAUAUGUGUUUCAGUGGGUGCCUUCAGGCCUGGUGGGUGUGGCCCUGCUGAUGGUCUGGCCACACCCGAAGCCACACACUUGCUGCUGGUCAGGCCUCGUCGGGGGUGCUACUUGGGAGAGUCUUGGAGCUCCCACCGACGCGGGAUCAUUUCGGUCGCAGGGGGUGCUGGAGCCUAUGGCAGCUAUCUCAGGGCGAGAGGCAGGGUACGCCCUGGACAGGUCGCUAGUCUGUCACAGGGCUAAACAUUCGUACUCACAUUCACUCAUACCUAUGGGCAAUUUAGAUUUUUCCAAAAACAAUGGGCAAUUAAGAUUUUUCACGUGCCUCCAAAGACGCAAAGGUGUCGCCAUCUGACAUGAUUCAGCAGCGCCUCUUCACAGCUCUGUGGUCACAAGUUGAGCAAAAGCCUCUCAAAAUCACACACAGGGGGAUUAAAAAACUUGAAAAGGUGAUUUUUAAAGCCAUCAAAGCGGCUGGACAUUAGCCCUGAUCUCGUGAUCAUUGCGCUAGCCGUAGGUCAGCCGUACCUAGAGGUGAUCAUUUCCAUAUUUGAAGAUCACCACUUCGGUAAAAACCUGCUGGCAAGGUUCUUCUCGUGGUGCGUUAGAGCCGAGGAUGACGAGGACAAAGAAACUAAAGCCAUGUCUGAAACACGUUUAGAAGAAUUUAAAAGUAAUAUAUUUCCAAUAGUGGAGGAAAAAAUCAUCAUCUGGCAUUAGUGUCAGCGAUUAUGAUGAUGAUGAAGAGGAACAUGUGAGCGCACUCAUUGAUGCUGUGCUCACACGUGUUGAAAAUAAUUCGCACUACAAACCUUCUAAAAAACUCCACAGGUAUCUGUUAAAACACGUGUUGUAAUUAUAAUAAAGGUCAAUCAAAUGGACCAAUAUGGCAAGGCCAUGAUGAUCCACUUGGUAAAAUAAAUCCGCUUGGCAUCUUUCUUGGCCUUAAGACAACAAUUCUUAUGGCUAAAGAUCCAAACGGGACACACAAAAAAACACAUGUUGUCUGACAACAGGAUCAAAGAUCUGCAUAUACAUGUAUAUAAACUGAAAGAUCUCGACCGGGCCAUUUACCAAGAGCUACGUCAGAAAACAUUCUGUUAAGAAAAAACAUUUACUGAUGUUACUGAACGACGAGGACCCAGUGUUGAGAAAACUGACGGUCGAUAUCAUUAAAAAUCACCUGAUCGACACUAUGCAGAAUCCAGCCCUGUGUGAAGCUGAAGAGGCUGAAAAUUACAGGUUAUCUGUGGAAGCCUGUAUCAAGAAGGUGGUGACACGUGUCAAUAAAAAUGCCAGUUCACCUUCCUCUACUGAAAAAGUUGAUGCCAUCACCCAACGGCUGUUCAUAAAACUCUGGCCUAGACUUAAAAAGAUCAAAGUUGAUAAUGUGAUGUUCAUCAGUGAUUGUCAGGGUCCCUGAGCAGUUAUGAAUUAUAUUAUUAUUAUUAUUAUUAUUAUUAUUGUAUGUAUAUUUGGUGUUGCUGUCCUUCUCCCUGCUUGCGUGUGUGUAUGUGUUUCAGUGGGCGCUUCAGGCCUGGUGGGUGUGGCCCUGCUGAUGGUCUGGCCACACCCGAAGCCACACACCUGCUGCUGGUCAGGCCUCGUCGGGGGUGCUACUUAGAAGAGUCUUGGAGCUCCCACCGACGCGGGAUCAUUGC